rnacentral:rRNA from 1 species
GACGAACGCUGGCGGCGUGCUUAACACAUGCAAGUCGAACGGUAAGGCCCUUCGGGGUACACGAGUGGCGAACGGGUGAGUAACACGUGGGUGAUCUGCCCUGCACUUCGGGAUAAGCCUGGGAAACUGGGUCUAAUACCGGAUAGGACCACUGCCUGCAUGGGUGGUGGUGGAAAGCUUUUGCGGUGUGGGAUGGGCCCGCGGCCUAUCAGCUCGUUGGUGGGGUGAUGGCCUACCAAGGCGACGACGGGUAGCCGGCCUGGGAGGGUGACCGGGCACAGUGGGACUGGGGUACGGCCCAGACUCCUACGGGAGGCAGCAGGGGGGAGUAUUGCACAAUGGGCGCAAGCCUGAGGCAGCGACGCCGCGUGAGGGAUGACGGCCUUCGGGUUGUAAACCUCUUUCAGCACCGACGAAGCGCAAGUGACGGUAGGUGCAGAAGAAGGACCGGCCAACUACGUGCCAGCCGCCGCGGUAA